CCUACCCUAGAAGUGUUGUAGGCUUGGCUGCUGUGUCACAUGUGUGUCAGCAGGUGGCAGAGAGGAGAGAGGCUAUGCCCAUGCUCACUCAGUGUUCUGACUAUGGACAUCUGAAGGAUUAGAAGCCUAACACU